GGAUUGGUGCCUUCGGGAACUCUGAGACAGGUGCUGCAUGGCUGUCGUCAGCUCGUGUUGUGAAAUGUUGGGUUAAGUCCCGCAACGAGCGCAACCCUUAUCCUUUGUUGCCAGCGGUUAGGCCGGGAACUCAAAGGAGACUGCCAGUGAUAAACUGGAGGAAGGUGGGGAUGACGUCAAGUCAUCAUGGCCCUUACGAGUAGGGCUACACACGUGCUACAAUGGCGCAUACAAAGAGAAGCGACCUCGCGAGAGCAAGCGGACCUCAUAAAGUGCGUCGUAGUCCGGAUUGGAGUCUGCAACUCGACUCCAUGAAGCCGGAAUCGCUAGUAAUCGUAGAUCAGAAUGCUACGGUGAAUACGUUCCCGGGCCUUGUACACACCGCCCGUCACACCAUGGGAGUGGGUUGCAAAAGAAGUAGGUAGCUUAACCUUCGGGAGGGCGCUUACCACUUUGUGAUUCAUGACUGGGGUGAAGUCGUAACAAGGUAACCGUAGGGGAACCUGCGGUUGGAUCACCUCCUUA
rnacentral:rRNA from 1 species